rnacentral:lncRNA from 1 species
AGACUUUUAACAUUACAUGAUUAUGUCAGUGGAAGAAUAAAAACUACUGGCUCAGCUUCUGCGACUCCCAUGAUUGAGUUGGCAUGCGAGGUUUCCUGUUAGCAUCCUUCUUCAUUGUUAGAUUUUCUGUCUUCUCAUGUCUUACUUGUUUGUCUGCUUUCUUAUUGAUUUUUGUGCUUCCAUAUUCCACGGUAUUUUUAAGAAUGGUCGGUGAGGUUAAAAUAUAACUGGAUCAUCUCUCCCCCUUUCCUCCCUAGUUUGCUCCUCUGUCUACUUCCCCUUGCCCUCUCUCAGUUUGUGACCUCUAUUUCUUUAAUUGUUGUUGCUAUGGUUGUUUUUAUAUGUGCACUUCUGAAUAUGUAAAUGCAGCCUGUAUAAUAUUAAUUGGGUGUGUGUAAGAUCUCAGCACUGAAUACAUGGUAUGAGAUAACCACUCAGGGAGCAGCUAGUCCCUAGGAAAGGCUGUUUUUCCUGAUCAUAGCAUUCCAUGGCUCUUUGCAAUUCUUUGUCUAUGGUUGAGACUCCAAGAUAUUAGAAAGAAUUAAAAGUGAACUCCCUGGCCUGGCCUCAGUGAGAGAAAAAGCACCUAACCCUCAAGAGACUUGAGGCCCCAGGGAGUGGGGAGAUCUAGUUGGGUAGGGGUGAGGUGGUGGGGCCAUCCUCUUGGAUACCAGGACCGGGGUCAGGGAGAUAAGGGAUGAGGCAGUCAGAGGGAGAACCAGUAAUGACUGGACUGUUAAAAAAUGAUUAAAAUAAAUAAACAAGCAAAUAAAUAAAUACAAUUAAAAUGUACUCAAAUGGGGAGGCCUUCAUAAAUCAAUAAAUUAAGACAUUGUUUACCAAUGGAAAAAAUAGAAUGGCAAGUGAAUACUUUCAGACAUUCAUUGUCUAACUAUCUAACACUUAUUUUUUGGUAUGUGUGACUAACAAGAACUCUGCUAGGUUGGCAAUUUCUUUCUUUCCAGAAUUCUGAGGACAUGGAUUUAUACUAUUUCUUCUUGCUAUUACUAAUAAGCAGAAAAUAAUGUUUUUGUUUCUGAUUUUACAUGCACCUUCCAAAAUCCUUUCGCAUAAUUCUGUAGAAUCUCUCUCUCUCUCUCUCUCUCUCUCUCUCUCUCUCUCUCUCUCUCUCCCUCUCUUUUCAAGUGCUAGUCAGGAUUUCAUAAUGAUGUACCUCAGUGUGGAAUUCCUUUUGGUCUUCAGUUGUGGAAAAUAGAUGGGUAUUUUAACUUAGAAUUCUUUUUUUUAUUAUUUAAUCAUUUAUUUAUUUAUCUAUUUAUAUAUUUAUCUAUUUAUCUGUUUAUUUAUUUUACACUUCAAAUUUUAUUCUCCUCCUGGUCAAGCCUCCAACUGUUUCACAUCCCAUACCUCCUCCCCGCCCUUGUCUCCGCAAGGAUGUUCCCACCCCUCACCCCCAACCCCCACCCCACAAGACCUCCAAACUCCCUGGAGCCUCCAGUGUCUUGAGGGUUAGAUGUAUCUUUUCUUAUUUAACUCAAAAAAUGGCAGUCCUCUGCUGUAUAUGUGUUGGGGGCCUCAUAUCAGCUCAUGUAUGCUGCCUGGUUGGUGGUCCAGUGAAUGAGAGAUCUCAGGAGGCUAGGUUAGUUGAGACUGCUAGUCCUCCUACAUGGUCACUCUCCUCCUCAGCUUCUUCCAGCUUUCCCCUAAUUCAACCAUAGGGGCCAGCAGCUUCUGUCCAUGGGUUGGGUGCAAAUAUCUGCAUCUGACUCUUUCAGCUGCUUGUUGGGUCUUUCGGGGGACAGUCAUGAUAGACCCCUUUUUAGUGAGCACAUCAUAGCUUCAGCAAUAGUGUAAGGCGUUGGAACCUCCCCAUGAGCUGGAUCCUACGUUGGGCCUGUCACUGGACCUUCUUUUCCCCAGGCUUCUCUCCAUUUCUGUCCUGGCAGAGGAACAAUUAUGGGUCAGCGUUUUGACUGUGGGAUGGCAACCCCCUCCCUCACUUGAUGCCCUGUCUUUCUGCUUGAUGUGGACUCUACAAGUUCCCUCUCCCCACUAUAGGGCAUUUCAUCUAAGAUUCCUCUCUUUGAGUCCUUGGAGUCUCUCACCUCUCAGGUCUCUGGUGCAUUCUGAAGGGUACCCCCAACGUCACAAGGUUGCCUAUUUCCAUUCUUUCUGCUGGCCCCGAGGGCUUCAGUCCUUUUCCCUUCACCCAAUACCAGAUUUGGUUCCCCUUUAGCUUAGAAUUUUAAGACUUCAAUUACUUAAAAUGUUCUUAAGCAAUAUCAUUGGUGAUUUUCGUUUUCUUGUUUUAUAUCUUUCUAUAAUUUUUAAAAUUUAUUCUGAUAUCAAAUAUUUUCCAUUAAUUUCCAGUUUUCCUGGGUGUUCUAGUUUUCUAUCACUUUAUUUUUUUCUAACCAAUAUUUAUCUUUUAUGGCAUUGCUCAUCAUCAGUAUAUUGAAAAUUCCCUUCAUCGUUCUUUAUUUUAAAAGUUGUGUAUUCUUCAGUCCCGGAUUUAGUAUUAUCCUUUGAUUAUUAAUGUUAUACUAAUUUCCUUUUCUUUUUCAUACAGUUUACACCCCACACCCAUUUUCUUUUUGCUAUCUUCCCUUUUUGAAGCUUUCAUACAGUAUUUGCUAAUUCAGGGUUCUUACUGUGUUUCAGAGUGAAGGGCCUAGAAAACUGACACAAUCUUUCCACAUGUCAAUGGAGCCUACUGAGUGAUUCACACCAUUGGAUCUCUCUCCCUAUCAUAGUCUUCCCCACCUAGGCUGGCCAGAUUUCCCAUGGAAACCUUAUUCACAUUUUCACCCAUGCUAUAAACUAACUGUAGCUUUCUACUAAACAGGCAAAGG